UUUAGAGUGCGCCGGAGGGGAGUCAGCUGACCCUUUUCCUCCCCCCUUUUGCGCGUGUUUUGGUUCCGCCCACUCCCCCUUUAGUGCGGCUGCGCGUCUUGCAGCUGGCUCCAGCCAUGGUGGGCAGUGGCAGCUGGCUGUGGCUGCUCUGCGCAGGCGUACUAGGAGAGGCCUUGUCGGGCCCUCAGGAGCCAGGGGCCACUCGGGAGAGGAAGGGCGCUCAGAAGCUGCAGGAGGGCAGCUCUCCUCACCCCAAGGUGCUGGGCUUCCGCCUGGAGGAAGGGGCCUCCGCCUCAGGGGGCCUGGUGAGGGCCACCCCGGGGGCCACUUUCCGCCUCAGGCUCUAUGGCACCGGCCUCAGCAACCGUACAGGCCCUUGGGUGGCCUUUGUUGCCUCAGAGGACCCAUGCGCGGUCCCUUCCGCCACGGCGUCGCCCACCGAGGUCCACGUCCACGACGUCCAGCCCCUGGGUGACCACGCGGCCUUGGUCACCGUCAAAGUGUCCCCGCUCGGCGCCAAGGGACAGUACCACCUCUGCAGUCCGGUUGGGACCGGUCACUCGUGGGCUCCGGCUGCGCCAGGAGAUGCGAUCCUAGUCACCGAAGACGAAGGUGGAGGUGGCCCUGAUGGAAAGGUGUCCACGGUGGCCUUGCCCGCCCCGUUGGCGCCGUGGCUUUUGGGCACCUUAGUGGCCCUCCUCCUGGCCCUCUUGGCCCUUCUGCGGACCUUGCAACUCGGGACCUUGUGGCUGGACCCGGCGGAGCUCUAUGUCCUUCGGGAUUGUGGUUCCGAGUCGGAACGGGAGGCCUCCAAGACGCUGGAGCCUGUCCGGCAACGAGGAACCUUCGUGCUCUGCUCGUUGUUGCUCCUGAGCUCCGUGGCCAACGCCGCCUUGGCAGUGCUUUUCUACCGCGCCGUUGGACUCUUCGCACCCACCAUCCUGGGCGUAGCUGGCUUGAUUUUCCUCUUGGCGGAGGUGCUUCCCUUCGCCAUCAGCUCCCGCUGGGGACUCCUUCUAGCCCCCCGCGGCCUGUGGUUGACGCAGCUCUGCAUGCUGUUGACGUUCCCCAUCUCCUUGCCCCUCAGCAAGGUCCUGGAGCUGGCCUUCCACCACGACACCAGCACCUGCCUCUUGCGGGAGAAGAUCCUGGACAUGGUACGCAACAGCGACCCGUACAACGAGUUCGUGCGGGAGGAGUUCAGCAAAGGGGCCCUGCGGAACAAGACGGUGGAGGACAUCCUGACACCGCUGGACCAGUGCUUCAUGCUGGACGCCAACGCGGUGCUGGACUUCAACCACAUGUCCACCAUCAUGCAGAGUGGCUACACCCGCAUCCCCGUCUAUGAGGAGGAGCGCACCAACCUGGUGGACAUGCUCUACGUCAAGGACCUGGCCUUGGUGGACCCGGACGACUGCACCCCACUCAGCACCAUCAUCAAGUUCUACAACCACCCACUCCACUUCGUCUUCAACGACACCAAGCUGGAAGCCGUGCUGGAGGAGUUCAAGCGAGGAAAGUCCCACCUGGCCAUUGUCCAGAAGGUCAACAACGAAGGCGAAGGAGACCCUUUCUACGAGGUCAUGGGCCUGGUGACGCUGGAGGACGUCAUCGAGGAGAUCAUCAAGUCGGAGAUCAUGGACGAGUCGGAUGACUACAGGGACAACAAACUGAAGAAGAAGCCAGCCCCACUGGGGUCCUUGAUGGAUCGCAGGAAAGAAGACUUCUCUUUGUUCAAAGUGUCUGAUAAUGAAUAUAAGGUGAAAAUCUCCCCGCAGCUUCUCCUGGCUACGCAGCGCUUCUUAUCCAGAGAGGUGGACCUCUUUGGCCCAGCCCGCAUCUCCGAGAAGGUCCUCUUGCAUUUGUUGAAGCACCCCAGCGUCAACCAGGAGGUCAAGUUCGACGAGAGCAACCGCCUGGCCACCGACCACUACUUGUACCAGCGCAACCAGCCGGUCAACUACUUCAUCCUCAUCCUGCAGGGCAGGGUCGAAGUCGAGAUCGGGAAAGAGGGGCUGAAGUUUGAGAACGGGGCCUUCACGUAUUACGGGGUCUCCGCGCUGACGGCACCUUCUUCCGUUCACCAGUCCCCAGUGUCCACCCUCCGAAUGAACCGCCGCGACCAGUCCCCGCUGGACUGCACAGAGGCCACCAACUACUCCGCUUACUGUCCGGAUUACACCGUCCGAGCCCUGACCGACCUGCAGUUCAUCAAGGUGACCCGUCUGCAGUAUCUCAAUGCCCUGAUGGCCUCCCGGAUACAGAACUCCCCGCAGUCUCCGGACAACAUCGAAUUGAAAAUCAUGCCCAGCAGCCAGACGAAGCUCCUGAAUGACAAAAACGCGGCAACAGCCUUCCCGCUAAACCUCUCUUUCUUUGGCACAAUUGAGAACUGCAUUUAAUACAGGCCCCCCUCUGCCAUAUUGCUGGAGUGCCUUUGUUUUGAAAGCCGCAAGGGAACAGCCAAAGCAAGCUCAACCUUCUGGAAGGGGAGAUCCAGAGUUCGGGGGUCUGAUGCCGUGGACGAUGGGUCAGCUGGGCCUGCGGAGGAGCCCCUUCCCUAAAUCCCGUGACCCUCCUGGAGGGUGGGCUGAGCUGAGAGGGAACGUGGACUGCGUGGAGCUGCCUCGCUCGCCUUGGCCGAAGACGGUGCCGUGAGCAGGGACUGAGCCAAGGGCUGCAGAAACAGCUCGUUCUUCUCUUUCCUUGACGGCGUUGUGGUCCCUUGUGUUCCAUGCAAAACAACCCCCUGUAUCCCCGUGGUUUUGUUUCCCCCAAACGUAUGCACUUAACUUUUGCACACUUAAUGGCAAGUGUGCAUACAACACCCCCAGGCUUUUUCCAGCUCAUGGAGACCCUUGGGGUGCCCCGUUGCGAGCCACUACCCACCCACUCCUUCCUCGCCAGGCCCAAGGCUGCUUUUGCCUCUUCCAGGGACCGUGAAUGCACCCACGUGGCUAGUGGGCAGUGAGUGUUUGGGCCAGUUGUGGUCACCACUGCCUGCCCAGAAGGCCUCCUCCUUCCCCAGUUCCUGCUCCUGCCUUUUGCCCGGAAUUGUGCCAAAGUCUGCUCCCCAAAGACAAACACUUCCAUCCCUUUUGCCUCUUGGCUUAUCGGCUACAUGGGAGAGUGUGUGCCAAGACGGGGAACCAUCUCUCUCUGCAAAGGAGACCCUCCUUGACUCUACUUUCCUUUUUCUUUCUUUCCCUUCCUCACUCCACCGCUUUCUCUUCAUUCAUUUCAACCGUCCUUCCCUCCUUGUCCAUCCUUCGUUUUUUUUCUCUUCCAACCUCUUGUCCAACCUUCUUUCCUUUGUGUUGUCCAAGGCUUUCAUGGCCCGAAUCACUGGGUUAUUGUGAGCUUUCUGGAGUAUUCCAGAAGCAUUCUCUUCUGACGUUUCGCCUGUAUCUGUAGCAGGCAUCCUUAGAGGUUGUGAGGUGCUGGAAACUAGGCAAGUGGGGUUUAUGUGGAAUGUUUAGGGUGGGAGAAAGAACUCUGAGGCAAGUGUGAAUGUUGCCACUUUGAUUAGCCUUGAAUAGUCUUGCACCAUUAACGCCUUGCUGCUUCCUGCCAGGGGGGAUCCUUUGUUGGGAGGUGUUAGCUGGCCCUGAUUCGUUUUUUGAGUUUUGCUCUUAUUUACUGUCCUGAUUCUAGGGGUGUUUUUUUUAAUACUAGGAGCCAGGUUUUGUUCAUUUUCAUGGUUUUCUCCUUUCUGUUGUUCAUGGUGGGAGAAAGAACUUUUUUCUGCCGGAGGCAAGUGUGAUUGUUGCCACUUUGAUUAGCCUUGAAUAGUCUUGCACUGUUAAAGUCUGUCUGCUUCUUGUCUGGGAGAAUCCUUUGUUGGGAGGUGUUAGCUGGCCAUGAUUUGUUUUUUUUAGUGUUGCUCUUUACUUACUGUCCUGAUUCUAGAGGUUUUUUUUAAUACUGAGAGCCAGAUUUUGUUCAUUUUCAUGGUUUUCUCCUUUCUGUUGUUCAGAGUGGGAAAAAGAACUUUUCUUUUGCCUGAGGCAAGUGUGAAUGUUGAUUCAGGACAGUAAAUAAAGAGCAACACUCAGAAGAAGAGGGGAAUUCCAGACAAGAAACCUUGAGGGCCAGUUAACAUCUCCAAAAGGGAUUCCCCAAGGCAGGAAGCAGCCAGGCUUUGAAACUGCAAGACCAUUCAGUGCUCAUCAAGCUGGCCUGUUGCAACAUUCACACUUGCCUCAGGCAGACGAGUUCUUUCUCCCACCCUGGACGUCAUUCCACAGGUAUGUGUGUAUAUAUAUGUUUGUGUGUAUAUAUACACGAAUAUAUGUAUAUGUACACACACACAUACACAAACCCCACUUGCCUAGUUUCCAACAGACCUCCCAACCUCUGAGGAUGCCUGCCAUAGAUGUGGGUGAAACGUCAGGAGAGAAUGCUUCUGGAACAUGACCAGACAGCCCGGAAAACUCACAGCAACCCACAGCUGGUGUUUGGGGGGCAGCAUUGGAAGAGGUUUGCAAAUGUUUAAUUUUUCCUUUCUGAUGCCUUGCGGACCCCUGGCAUGGAUAACCAUUGCAUUUUGCCACUGAGGACUCUCCACCACCUUGGGCCAGUGUCGGCACACUCCUUAUUGUUCCUAGAAUCUCUUCCAGGCACUAGAAACAAGACGGCAAAAAUGUAGAAUUUAAUCCUUUAUUUAGUAAUCAUUUUUCAAGGAAGAUUGCUGGGGGAUACAGUCCUCCAAGCCCCAUAACGGGCCAGAGUUGCCCACCCCUGACCUAUAGAGACUAAGGGCAGGGAGAGGAACACUCUCUUUAAUGGGUGCUCCGUACCUGUAGAAAGGUGAGACAUGUCAGUAAAUUCCACCAAUCCAGUGCAUCUAAGUCAAUUGGGCUCCAAGAGAAGGAUUUGGGGGACUUCUUUCCCAUUUGCCCCCUGAAUAAUACCCUCAAUAGGACUUGUUUUCCCCAACUCCCCAUUUUGGGCUGAACUGUGGUUUCCAGACUGACCGCCUUCAUCGUCUACGGCUCGCGGGAGACUCCCAUUUGGCCUCUGCUCCAGCUUUGGCAGAGACAGACUGUCCUUUCCUUCUCCUAGUUGCUACUAACAGUAUUUUUCUUCACCCCCCCCCCCCACCAAAAGGUUUUUUAUUUUUUAAAGGAACCCCGAAGAACCCACCGCCGCCUUUUGUCUUUAGAAGCCAAUGUUACAAUCAUUUCAGGUAAAUUAUUUGUAACCUGCCUCUUUCUGUUGUAGACCUUCCUGACGGGGACUGUACCUUUGUAUGGAAAGAAGUCUAAAAAGAUCUGCGUCUUAUUUAUAAGUUA